rnacentral:lncRNA from 10 species
UGGGAUUCUAGUCCCACCACGGCCUCUUCAUAGACUGGCACUUCAAAGGCUUCAUUGUCCCUGAGGGAAGAGAAAUAAGGCCAUUGGUGGCUUCCAUGAAAGAAGCCCUUUUUCCCUUUUUUUUGUCUGCUGUGGGCAAAAGAUCCUCUGUUGGCCUCUGACCCCUCCUCCCGCUGAUGCCAAUGACAGGAAACCAGAGACUCUCUGCCUCAGAGACUACAGGGAGAGAGGGAGGAUGGGCCCAAGGUGUAUUCCUCUUACGAUGCCCACCCUUAACUCACCGUGCAUUGCCUGAGGGCCCUGGGCUCUCAGUCUGCAUUGAUUGGAGCUGGGACCGAAGCCCCCAUUCCAGAAACCGGACCAGGAGAUAGGCAAACAAGAAGAAGCCACCCAAUGUGAGAAAGAAAUAAGCAACGGGGGUGAUGUCCGUCUUUAUGCCCAGCAAAGCCAGCCCCAGUAGGAAGGAGGCGCAGCACAGGAGGAGAAGCGGCUUCUCCAGUCUCCCCAGUUCUUCAAUCUCAAAUAAAUCAUCUGUAGAGUCCCCUCCAGUUCCGAAAUUCUCUCUAUGUCUUGGAGUGUGUGGAAUAGCCAGGAAACCAGCCCAGGAGCUUUGACUCCCAGCCAUUCUGUAAGUUGACUGUGUCAUGGCUCUGCCUUCUUUCCUUUCUCCUUCCCUGUAGUCUCCCUUCCAGCUUUGUCCCUUACCACCAUCCAGGAUCCGGUCCUGGGCACGCCCUGCCUGGGGCUUCAGUGCACACUGGCAUCUCUGGAAUUCAGGUGAUGGGGCAGGCCCUGCCCUUCCUCUGUUAUUGCUCCUACUGGAUCUCCACCCCCACCUCCCCAGCCAGAGGCCCUCAAUCCAGCCCCGUUAGAGAGAAGAGGGGAGGGAGCCCCACUUACCCUGUCUGACUCUGUCUUUUCCUUUCCUCCGGUGUUAGCCCAUGCUCCAGGUGGAGGGAGAAAGUGCACACAGGCGCACCAAAGC